GUGCUUUGCUUGUAUGCUUUUUUGUGUUUCUUUGUUACUUAUUAUGUGCUCUGUACUUAUACAUCUUGUCAUUCUGCUACUGUGCUAUGGUAAAUAAAUUUUGGUAUAAUUGUCUUUCAUUUUUGCUACAAGUGCUUUGUCUAUAUGCGAUUUGUGUGUUUCUUUGUUACAUAUUUUUUUUAUAGCAAUUAAGAUUAUAACACAAUGUUCACUGCUGCACCCCUAUUCUUAAAACUUUUGAUAAUUAUGUCUGUUUGUUUUGUUCACACAACGUUGUCAAUAUAUUUUAGAUUUUUAUGCGACUUUCCUACAAGAGAGACGUUAGCAAGCUAAAAACAGGUUUAAUCCACCAUUUUCAACAUAAGACAAUACCUAUAACAAGUCGUAUAUGAAUGUUGUUAUCUACUCGUUUGAUGUGUUUAAGCUUUUGAUUUUGGCAUUUGAUUACGGACUUUCCGUUUUGAAUUUUCUUCAGAGUUCAGUAAUUUUAAUUUAUUUAGCUCAUGCUUCAAAAUAACAAAAACAAAAGGUUAAACAGUUGCUACAAACUUUUCGCGAUGUUUUAAACCCAUUUGAACUACAAACCUAAAGAAACUCAAAAAGAAUCGCAUGAAUCCAAAACGGAGCUAUACUGAUAAUGUGGACAUUUUUAGCGUCUCAUAUUUUAAAACACUCAACCCACCUUGCAAAUACACACUCAGUAAAAAAAACUGGUUUAACAUGCAUAGAAAAUAUGCUUAUCCUUCUAUGUCAACUGAUGUUACGUUGAUACAGCAGGUAGAACAUUCCUAGAGCAUAUGUUAACUAUCUAUUGUGACUGCCUACCUUCGAGGUCACCUUUCAUCUUUUUAAGUUCCUAUUGCCAUAGGAAUCAGUAUGAUGUUUUAACAUACGUGCAAUUUUGAGGUUUAGUUAGCAAUAUUUUCAUUUUUUUAUUUUGUAUUUGUAUAUAUUUUGUGUUAUGCAAUCUAUAUUUUGG
rnacentral:lncRNA from 1 species